GCAAGUCGAGCGCGCCCUUCGGGGUGAGCGGCGGACGGGUGAGUAACGCGUGGGAACAUACCCUUCUCUACGGAAUAGCCUCGGGAAACUGAGAGUAAUACCGUAUACGCCCUACGGGGGAAAGAUUUAUCGGAGAAGGAUUGGCCCGCGUAAGAUUAGAUAGUUGGUGGGGUAAUGGCCUACCAAGUCUACGAUCUUUAGCUGGUUUUAGAGGAUGAUC
rnacentral:rRNA from 1 species